AUGUAUAUAUGUAUAUAUGUAUGUAUGUAUGUAUAUAUAUAUAAUAUAAUAUACACACAUAUAUACACACACACACACACACACACUAACAAGUAUGUAAAGAGUAAACUAGUAACGCUGACAUACCUUCUAAAUCUAAUGACCCAGGUCAGCAACAACUACAUUGGAACGUUAAGCCAUUGCUGACUGAUCAGGAAAAAAUAUACUGGAGUGCAGGGCAUUCUACGAAGACUUGCUGAGGAAUGUCUUGUCUUAAAUACGCCUCUUCAGUGUUAUAAACCAUUAUUAAAGGUGAUCUAGACCAAUUUUUCUUUUAUAGGGAAUAUGCUAAUUGAAGCCUUGUGUGUUUUACUGAAAUUUUAGCCAUUAUAUUUAUUUAUGAUGACAUUGCAUUCAUUAAAGGUAAACUGCACUCUG